GACGAACGCUGGCGGCGUGCUUAACACAUGCAAGUCGAACGGAAAGGCGCUGCUUUUGUGGGGUGCUCGCGUGGCAAACGGGUGAGUAACCCGUGAGUAACCUGCGCUGGACUUUGGGAUAACUUCAGGAAACUGGGGCUAAUACCGGCUAGGAGCUCCUGCUGCAUGGGGGGGGUCGGAAAGUACAGGCGGAGAGGGAUGGACGCGGGGGUUACCAGCUGGUUGGUUGGGUAGUGGCUUACCAAAGCAUUGACUGGUAGUCGGCCUUGGAGGGUAGCCGGCGACCUUGGUCCUGAGGUACGGCGCAGACUCCAACGGUGGACAACAGUGGGGAAUAUUGCACAAUGGGCGGAAGCCUGAUGAGGCAACGCCGCGUGCGGGAUGACGGCCUUCGUGUUGUGAACCGCAUUCGCCUGUGACGAUGCUUGAGUGACGGUAAUGGGUAAAUAAGCACCGGCUAACUACGUG
rnacentral:rRNA from 1 species